UGGGGCUGUGAAACGUCUUUUGAAUGAAAUGUUUAUCAUUUUAAUGUCUUUGUGGUUAAUUUGCACGAUCGUGAACUCAGAAUACAGGGUGACUUCAACUUCUCUUUCGGAGGAAAUUCCGGCGAAGUUAUCCAGCUUAGUUUGCUGUAAUUACACCUUCAAAAACUUUGUGGUUGAAAUGGCCCUCGACGGGAAGACAGCGCUCGUGACUGGGUUCGCUGGAGCCAUUGGAUCAACCAUCGCCAAGACCCUAGCGAAUGCCGGAUGUGACGUUAUUGGUAUAGAUAGAGUGAAACAGAAAAUUGCUCAAAAGUCCAUUGAUGAAAUCAAAGCUGGAAAUAGACAAGAUAUCAUUUACUUUGAAUGUGACCUUUUAAAGAAAGAAGAUGUCAAAAAAGUUUCUCUGGAAAUAAAGCCUACAUGUAAAGUUGACAUUAUAGUUAACGUAGCUGGCCGAUUAACGGUUGACAAAGUAGAAGAUAUGACAGCCGAGGACUGGGAUGAGGAUAUUGGAAUCAAUUUGACUGCUCCGUUUCUAGUUAUCAAGCAGUUUCUCGGUUCUAUGAAAGAGAAAGGUUGGGGCAGAAUAAUAAAUAUUUCAUCCACCUGUGGACUUGUGGCCCGGCCCUCAAUGUCAAGCUACGUUGCAUCAAAAACAGGAUUGGUUGGCCUCACGAGAGCAGUGGCUCUCGAGUCAGCAGAAUUCGGUGUAACAUGUAACGCCAUUUGUCCUUCAACAGUUGAUACUCCUCGACAAUCAUUUGAGAUAAAAUCCCAUUUUAUGAAUGGAGAUAUGAUGUUCACAUGGUCACAUGAAUCCAAAUACCAUGACGUAAGCGUGACGUGUGACGGACGUCACUUGGGAUUCACGAGAGUUUAUGAUAAUAAAUUCGUUCUUAAAGAUGUCCUUAACUACAAUAUUGUCAAGGUUCUUGUUCGUGCCACGAUUCACUAUACAUACGUCGAAAGUAGGAUGACUUUUCAUCAAUCAGUGUUAGAAGUGACAGAAGAAAGCAACGUGACUCUGUACAUACCAAUCCCAACCAAAGCUAAAACGUUGUGUCAGCUGACAGAUUCUGGUGCUAGCAUACCUCGUUACGCUGUGUCUGCAGAAGAUUUAGCAACCUCAUCCGGGUUGUUUACAUUUGUUUUAUCAAAUGUUUCAGCGACUGAUGCGGGCUACUACGCAUUAGGAUACGAUGUUCAAUCUUUUAGAACAAACCAUGGAGUCGUGCUUGUAGUCAUUGCUUUGCCAGAAAAUCCAAAAAUCACAGGAAUACGAAAUGUACCUAUUGGUCAAUCAACAAUACUCAAAUGUCACAGCAUGUCGCGGUCAAGGCCACUUUACUUUAAACAUUUUCCCGCCAUCGUUUAUACGUGGAUGGUGAACAACACAGUCGUCCAGUCGGAUAGCCAGACACUGACCAUGAACGUAACUUCCUAUACGUAUGUCCAAUGCCAGGCUAGAGAGCAGUUGACAUCAAUAAGUGACUUUGCUUACAUGCAACCUCAAUAUGGUCCGGAAGCUGUGACGAUGACUCCCGAAUUCAACACAAGUGUAAAGUUGCAUAAUGGUGCAAACUUUGGACCUGUAUCCUGCAUGGCAGACUGCAAUCCGCCUUGUACAUUCCAAUGGAGAAAAGUGAAUUUGGAUGGGACAAUCGAUGAAGUUAUAACAACAGCAAAUUUACCAAGACAGACUGUUAAUAGCACGGAACCUCUGAAAUACCAGUGUGUGGCAAUUGGUGAUUACAAAAACAGUCGUGGUUCAAAUACAGUCUCAACGGAAAUUAACAUAGAUGUGCAAUAUCUUGCUAAAUCGACUAUUCUCGGAAUCAUAAACGGGAACAUAAUCACAGAAAAUAUCAUACAAGCCAAGGAGGGAGCGACUGCUGUAAUUCAAUGUUCGUGUGCAGGCAAUCCAAAGUCCAAGGUUUAUAUAACCGGUAAUGAUGAGAAAGGAGACAUUUCAUGGUUACCAGGGAAAAAAGCUGAAUCUGUGUAUAGUUAUCAUAAACUGAAGUGUGAACACACGAAAGAGUAUACUUGUGAUGCUUAUAAUGACCAACUCAAUCAUACCUCAAGUUCAAUUCAUCUGUUCGUAGAAUGCUCUCCAAGGUUAGACGUUAAUACAACGUUCUCUCUGCAUUAUCAAGAAAACAUCGAUGGGUAUGUUGUUUUAAAAGUUCCGUUGGUCUCGUACCCAAAGCCAAAAGACGCCACUUGGUUUGGACCCAGGAGGGAACAAUUUCAACUUGACGCUGCCUCAACCAUUAGCCAAGGGGACAAACCAUACCAGUUUUGGAUUCACUCUGAGAUUCAUAUCAUUAAUAAAUCCUCCUUUGGAUAUUAUAAACUCUUUGUCGAAGGGGAAGAAAUUCUAACUAUUAUAAUAGAAAACAAAGAGUCUACAAGUUCCGGUUUAAUGGCCUACUUAUCGACUUUGCCGUUGUUGACACUUGUUACCUUUGCUCUUGGAGGAACCAUAUUAUUGUUCUGCUUCAUAUCCACUCUCUGCUACAUCGGAAGGAAAUACAAAAGGAGACAAGGACACCACAAUCGGAAGACGUCUGUUAUUUCAUCGGAACUGGAGACAGGACCAAUGCAAAACGGGACACAAUCCUUUCAGAGAUAUACACUGAUUCCCGGUCGUGGAGUUAUUGAGGGCGACUACGAAACCAUUGACACUCCUGACGAUAGCGCGUAUCUUUCCGUGUUUUAUAAAGGAAAUGAAAUAAAGCACUCGCAAGACGGAUCCUCUUUUAGUGAGAAUACAUCAGAAGCAGAGACAUGCACAUACGAGCUUGAGGGUUGCAUCUAUUACUGCGUUGCAGAGACAUCCAACAGUUGUAAAGAAAAGGGUGAAUAUGAAAAACUUCCAACCACCUAG
rnacentral:sRNA from 1 species